AAUGGAGGCAACUCUGACGCAGCCAUGCCGCGUGCAGGAAGAAGGCGCUACGCGUUGUAAACUGCUUUUAUCCGGGAAGAAACCCCUCUACGUGUGGAGGGUUGACGGUACCGGAGGAAUAAGCACCGGCUAACUUCGUGCCAGCAGCCGCGGUAAUACGAAGGGUGCAAGCGUUAUCCGGAUUCAUUGGGUUUAAAGGGUGCGUAGGCGGAGCGUUAAGUCAGUGGUGAAAUCCUGCAGCUCAACUGUAGACUUGCCAUUGAUACUGAUGCUCUUGAGUGCGCUUGAAGUAGGCGGAAUGUGCCGUGUAGCGGUGAAAUGCUUAGAUAUGGCACAGAACACCAAUUGCGAAGGCAGCUUACUAAGGCGCUACUGACGCUGAGGCACGAAAGCGUGGGGAUCGAA
rnacentral:rRNA from 1 species